GGAUUACCCACAAAGCCAAACUCCUGAGGUAAUAAGGAACAGUUCGUGAGACGCACAGCAAUCUGAGCAGACUCAUAAAUGGAGCAGUGUCCAAAGUCCACCUCAGUGUGGUCGAACCACAGUCCAUUGUCAGUUCUCGUCGUGUUUAUACCAGCACACUCCAGAUGGAGCCUGAUGCGAUAUAAGAGCCAGAGCAGACACCUGAUCCAUAAAAUCACCUGGAAGCCUAAACCUACCACAUCUGUUUAGGUGUAUGAACUGGCAACAUCGCCAGUUUCUGUGGACCUAUGAGUGGAAUAUGAGGGGAUGGAGUGGAGUUUCAUUACCAAACACCCAACAAUCAAAAUCUGUGUUCCUACCCCCUCCCA